UUUCGUUUUCUGAGACCGGAAGUGGUCAUCAGCAAGGGUGGAGCCAAACAGAGUACGGUGCAUAGACUGUAAAUAAAUGGGUUUUGUUUGUUUGUUUUCAUGGUCAAAAUGAAAGAUCAAGUUGCCGAUCUUAAAAUAAAUCAAUAUCGAUUUUUUUAUUUAUUAAGUUUUGCGACGCAAGGGGGCAUGGUUACCUGAUUGACACUUCGUCUGGAAUGACUGACAGUCUGGAGGAUUAAUUCUGAUAUGGUCACUGGUGGUUUAUCGGUGAAGAAGCAGAAUCUUUUCCACAGACACUUUUCCUGCCUGUUGGCUUGUUUUAACCAUUUUGCUACCUUCGGCUGAUUCUACCAGCAGACACUGAAAGGUCGGUGUCUCAUGUUCACUGUGAGGAUCUUCUGAGUGAAGCCACCAGAAGGAAAACCUCAUCUGGUUGUGAAGAAGGAGAUUGAAUGGACGACAUCCUCAGUGAACCACUUCCUGUUUAGCUUUCACUGACAGAAGGACAGACCAACUCUUUCAGCAGUUUAUUAUUCUCUGUUCUUAGUAUUCACAGAUUCUAUUUAUCACUUUUAACUUCAUCUCUGCUGCUGUAGCAGAAAUACAACAGGGUUUCUGCAGAACAUUAAUAGUCAUUAAGUUGAUUUUGCAGAAAUUAAGGCUUUAAAUGGCAUUAAAAAUCAUUAAAUUUGAUUCUCGGUGGCAUUAAAAUUUCUUUCUGCAGUUUUCAAGAAAAUAAUUGACAAUAAUAUAUUUAUAGACUGCGAUUUGUCAGAUAUGUGCAUCUGUAAACAUGCCGAAGCAUUGAGAUAAUUGUUCCAGCUGGUUGGGUACAAUUUCUAAAAACUGCAUGUUUUUAAAGUGGCCGGCAGGCUGGGAAAUGGGGAAACACAAAUUCCAGCAAAAAUGGCUGAAAAACGUGGAUUUCAGAGAAUGACUGCAGCCCGUUGGUGUUCAGGGGUGGUUCCCAGAUUCAGAAAUAGUCAAAUGUAGGGUUUUCAUAUAAAAAUAAUCUUUUACAAAAAAAACAAACCCGUGUAAUUUGAGUUCAUGGUCGUGGCAUUAAAUUUUUUACAGUAUAGCAUAAAAAUGGCAUUAAAAAGCAUUAAAUUUGACUGGUUGAUAUCUGCAGAAACGCUGUACAAUGUUAUUUAUAGCAGAUAUGCAGCAUUAAAACAUCAACACAUUCAGCUCAAGAGCUUCAUUAUUUCCUUCAUUGCACAUUUAAAAACUGCAUUAUUUAACAACUGUGAACUGUAAAGAUGUGUAAACAUGUAAUAAAUGGAUGAAAUAAAUAAUGUGUUGCUGACAGUGAAGUGUAAAAACUGAACAGUCACAAGACAAGUAUUAUGAAGAGAGGAGCUUAAUCUGCAGCAUCAUUGUUCUUAAUGGAAGCAUGAGGAGGACAUCAGUGCUGCUCUUCCUCACAGUGAUGGAGAGAAGACUGUUCAGACAACCACAGCUGGAUGUUCAUGUUCUCUGUAGCUUUCAGUCCAUCAGAUCAGAUGUUCCCAAUGAUCCAGACCAAGGCUGGAAGGAAAAGACACGAAGAGUGAGAAGAAGAUCUCCAAGGUUCUUUCAGUCCAACUGCUGGAACUUUAAAUAUCAGAAUGAACACAACAGAGGGUUGUAUUUUGUCCUACUUUCUAAUCUUAUAGAAAUGUUUGUUUUCCUGGUUGAGGCCAAAGAGCAUUUUACUGUCUUAGAUGGACAAUAAAGUUUAUUAUUUUUA